rnacentral:rRNA from 1 species
UACGUAGGGGGCAAGCGUUGUCCGGAUUUACUGGGCGUAAAGCGCGCGUAGGCGGGAGGUGAAGUCCGGUGGGAAAGCCCACGGCUCAACCGUGGAAGAACGCUGGAAACUCACCUUCUUGAGGGCGGCAGAGGGAAGUGGAAUUGCUGGUGUAGCGGUGAAAUGCGUAGAUAUCAGCAGGAACACCCGUGGCGAAGGCGGCUUCCUGGGCCGCCCCUGACGCUGAGGCGCGAAAGCGUGGGGAGCGAACGGGAUUAGAUACCCCGGUAGUCCACGCCGUAAACGAUGGUCACUAGGUGUAUGCGGUAUCGACCCCGCAUGUGCCGCAGCUAACGCAAUAAGUGACCCGCCUGGGGAGUACGGCCGCAAGGUUGAA